GACGUAGGGGGCGAGCGUUGUCCGGAUUUAUUGGGCGUAAAGCGCGCGUAGGCGGCCGCGCAAGUCGGAUGUGAAAACCCGGGGCUCAACCCCGGGCGUGCAUUCGAUACUGCGCGGCUCGAGACAGGUAGGGGAGAUCGGAAUUCCUGGUGUAGCGGUGAAAUGCGCAGAUAUCAGGAGGAACACCGGUGGCGAAGGCGGAUCUCUGGGCCUGUUCUGACGCUGAGGCGCGAAAGCUAGGGGAGCGAACAGGAUUAGAUACCCUGGUAGUCCUAGCCGUAAACGUUGGGUGCUAGGUGUGGGGGGAUAUCGACCCCUUCCGUGCCGAAGCUAACGCAUUAAGCACCCCGCCUGGGGAGUACGGCCGCAAGGCUAAA
rnacentral:rRNA from 1 species